ACAUGACCGCUGUCGGGGUGGGACUAAGCCAUGCGAGUCGUACGUCCUGAGCAAUGACAGGGCGUGGCGCACGGCUCCGUAAAACGUGGCUAAACUACCCCCAGGACGAGAAUAACCCCGGGAAACUGGGGCUAAUUCUCGAUAGGUGCAAAGCUCUGGAAUGACUUUGCGCCAAAAAGGACUAGGAUCAUGCUUCCUAGCUCCGCCUGGGGAUGUGGCCACGGCCUAUCAGGUAGUUGGUGGGGUAACGGCCCACCAAGCCGAUAACGGGUACGGGCCCUGAGAGGGGGAGCCCGGAGAUGGCCACUGAGACAAGGGGCCAGGCCCUACGGGGUGCAGCAGGCGCGAAACCUCCGCAAUGGGCGAAAGCCCGACGGGGUCACCUCGAGUCCCACCUGCUGAAGGUGGGUUUUCCCUGGUCUAAAAAGCCAGGGGAAUAAGCGGGGGGCAAGUCUGGUGUCAGCCGCCGCGGUAACACCAGCCCCGCGAGUGGUCAUGACGUUUAUUGGGCUUAAAGCAUCCGUAGCCGGCUUGGUGUGUCUCUGGUUAAAUCUCACGGCCUAACCGUGAGACGCCAAAGAUACUACCAAGCUAGGGGGUGGGAGAAGCCGGGGGUACUCCAGGGGUAGGGGCAAAAUCCUAUAAUCCCUGGAGGACCACCAGUGGCGAAGGCGCCCGGCUAGAACACGCCCGACGGUGAGGGAUGAAAGCUGGGGGAGCGAACCGGAUUAGAUACCCGGGUAGUCCCAGCUGUAAACGAUGCAGGCUAGGUGUCGGGUGGGCUUAGUGCUCACCCGGUGCCGAAGCGAAAGCGUUAAGCCUGCCGCCUGGGGAGUACGGUCGCAAGGCUGAAACUUAAAGGAAUUGGCGGGGGGGCACCACAAGGGGUGAAUGCUGCGGUUU
rnacentral:rRNA from 1 species